UACGGAGGGUGCAAGCGUUAUCCGGAUUUACUGGGUUUAAAGGGUGCGCAGGCGGAUAUGUAAGUCAGUGGUGAAAUCUCUAGGCUUAACCUGGAAAUUGCCGUUGAUACUAUAUAUCUUGAAUGCUGUGGAGGUAAGCGGAAUAUGUCAUGUAGCGGUGAAAUGCUUAGAUAUGACAUAGAACACCUAUUGCGAAGGCAGCUUGCUACACGGUCAUUGACACUGAGGCACGAAAGCGUGGGGAGCAAACAGG
rnacentral:rRNA from 1 species